rnacentral:misc_RNA from 1 species
AGAAAUCGUUAUUCUCUUGUUGUAUAACGCAUUAAAUGUGCAGACUGUUUUUGUCAUCUUAAUACUGAGAAAUCUUUGAGGGUUUAGGGUUUAUGUUUGUGUGAUAUUAAAAUAGUAUAUAAAAUUCUAUUGUUUCAAUGUUGUAUAAAAAUAUUGUAUUUCAAUAUACUUGUAAGAAUUAUUCAUAUUUACGAUCACUGGGCCAGCACUAACAAUGGUCAUUCAGCACAAUUAUGAUACUGUGUAUAAAAAUAUUAUUUUCCACGUGCUGCAGAUUUGAUGAAUCUAAAGUAUGAAUACAAUAAAUUACAUAAUUG